GAUGGAAGAACGCAGCGAAAUGCGAUAAGUAAUGUGAAUUGCAGAAUUCAGUGAAUCAUCGAAUCUUUGAACGCACAUUGCGCCCGCCAGUAUUCUGGCGGGCAUGCCUGUUCGAGCGUCAUUUCAACCCUCAAGACCCCUUCGGGGGACUUGGUGUUGGGGACCGGCACAGGGGCCUGCCUGCUUGUCUUGCAGCGCCCUCGCCGCCCCCGAAAUGAAUUGGCGGCCUCGUCGCGGCCUCCCCUGCGUAGUAGCACAACCUCGCAACGGGAACGUGACGGCGGCCACUGCCGUAAAACAACCCCAAUUUUAUUAGAGUUGACCUCGAAUCAGGUAGGAAUACCCGCUGAACUUAAGCAUAUCAAUAAGCGGAGGA
rnacentral:misc_RNA from 1 species